UAUUUUUGUUCAUACAUGUGUUUGGAUUAUUUUUAGAAUGGGAAUGAGAAUAAAAAAUUCAUCAUUAUCAAAUCAAAUUUCACUCUCAUCAAGAUUUUGAUUCCAUUGAUUCCUUUUUUGGUACACAGUAUUGUAAUUUAUCUUAAUUUCUAUUUUAUUUCCAUUUAUAUUGUAGGUUUGAGAAACAUAUUAGAUAGCCAAAGUUGGUUGGGAAUAUUGUAGGGUUGAGAGAGUGGGGUUACAUAUUCAAAUUACACCUAAUUAACUUAGCUAUACAACAAAUACAAGGACAAAGGUAGAUGAUUCUUAUCAAAUACGUAUCAAUUUAGAUGAUUUUUGUGAAAUUCUAUAUGUUUAUUUCCUGAGACAACAUUGUGUUAUACACCCCUAAAGGGAAAUUUGUAGUUUUUGCUAUUUUCUGGAGAAUUUAGGAAAUUCUUGUAGAGAAAUUUGUUUCUGAUUUCCUUCUUCCUCAUACACCGAUGAUGGAUUUUAAUUUAUUUUCUUUUCUAGUUUAUGUUGAGUGGUAGAGUACACAUUGGGAUUUAAAUGAAAAUCCCAUUCCCUAUGAUAGAGAUGAUGGAUUUUGAUUUCCCCCUCCCCUUUUAUUUUCCUAUUGAAUUAUAAGAUACUUUUUUUUUUUUUUUUUGAUAAAUAUUGUUGAAUUAUGAGAUACUGAUACUGAUGACUACCAUUCAUGCUUAUUAUUUUAUCUAUACUCAGUUAGCUACCUUUUAGAUAUGAGGGAAACUUGGGAUGAUGGUGACAAUCUUUGAUUAGUUUCUUUGGUUCCUUUUUAUAUAGGUUGCAUUGCAUAUAUUACGAUGUAAGUUUUCUUAUUGAAGACCCUUAUGCUUUACAACCUAGUCCUCUCUCAAUUUUAUCACAUUGUGAUUGUAAAGUUGGAUAUAUUAUUACCAUUAUAUUUUAAUAGGUUAGUGAGUUGGUUCACCUUAGGUUAUAGCUUACUGAACCUUAGAUACUAACUUAGUGACCUUUGGGUUACUACCUUUGUGAACCUUAAGUACUUCAUACUUGAACCUUAGGUAGUUCCUUUGGCCUUAUGUUUUAAUAUGCUAGUUAGUUUAUUCACCUUAGGUGCUUAUUGAACCUUAAGUACUACCUUAGUGAACAU
rnacentral:lncRNA from 1 species